UACGUAGGGUGCAUGCGUUAAUCGGAAUUACUGGGCGUAAAGCGUGCGCAGGCGGUUUGCUAAGACAGGUGUGAAAUCCCCGGGCUUAACCUGGGAACUGCGCUUGUUACUGGCAAGCUGGAGUGUGGCAGAGGGGGGUGGAAUUCCACGUGUAGCAGCGAAAUGCGUAGAGAUGUGGAGGAACACCGAUGGCGAAGGCAGCCCCCUGGGCUAACACUGACGCUCAUGCACGAAAGCGUGGGGAGCAAACAGG
rnacentral:rRNA from 1 species